rnacentral:rRNA from 1 species
UACAGAGGUCUCAAGCGUUGUUCGGAUUCAUUGGGCGUAAAGGGUGUGUAGGUGGCGCGCUAAGUCGGGUGUGAAAUUUCGGAGCUUAACUCCGAAACUGCAUUCGAUAACUGGCGUGCUUGAGGACUGGAGAGGAGACUGGAAUUCAUGGUGAGCAGUGAAAUGCGUAGAGAUCAUGAGGAAGACCAGUGGCGAAGGCGGG